rnacentral:rRNA from 1 species
UACGGAGGGGGCUAGCGUUGUUCGGAAUUACUGGGCGUAAAGCGUGCGUAGGCGGUUUGUUAAGUCCGUUGUGAAAGCCCUGGGCUCAACCUGGGAAUUGCAGUGGAUACUGGCGAGCUAGAGUGCGGUAGAGGAUGGUGGAAUUCCCGGUGUAGCGGUGAAAUGCGUAGAGAUCGGGAGGAACACCCGUGGCGAAGGCGGCCAUCUGGACCAGCACUGACGCUGAGGCACGAAAGCGUGGGGAGCAAACAGG